UGAGGAAUAUUGCGCAAUGGACGAAAGUCUGACGCAGCCAUGCCGCGUGCAGGAAGACUGCCUUAUGGGUUGUAAACUGCUUUUAUACAGGAAGAAACUUUUCUACGUGUAGAAAACUGACGGUACUGUAUGAAUAAGGACCGGCUAACUCCGUGCCAGCAGCCGCGGUAAUACGGAGGGUCCAAGCGUUAUCCGGAUUCAUUGGGUUUAAAGGGUGCGUAGGCGGGAUGCUAAGUCAGUGGUGAAAGCCCACAGCUCAACUGUGGAACUGCCAUUGAUACUGGUAACCUAGAGUAUGAUUGAAGUGAGCGGAAUAUGGCAUGUAGCGGUGAAAUGCAUAGAGAUGCCAUAGAACACCGAUAGCGAAGGCAGCUCACUAAGUCAUAACUGACGCUGAUGCACGAAAGCGUGGGUAGCGAACAGGAUUAGAUACCCUGGUAGUCCACGCCGUAAACGAUGAUUACUCGCUGUUGGCGAUACACUGUCAGUGGCUGAGCGAAAGCAUUAAGUAAUCCACCUGGGGAGUACGAUCGCAAGAUUGAAACUCAAAGGAAUUGACGGGGGCCCGCACAAGCGGUGGAGCAUGUGGUUUAAUUCGAUGAUACGCGAGGAACCUUACCAGGGCUUAAAUGUAGAUUGACAGAUUUGGAAACAGAUUUUUCUUCGGACAAUUUACAAGGUGCUGCAUGGUUGUCGUCAGCUCGUGCUGUGAAGUGUCGGGUUAAGUCCCAUAACGAGCGCAACCCCUAUUCUUAGUUGCCA
rnacentral:rRNA from 1 species